GGGGCACAGCUCAGUGGCAGAGCAUCUGCUUUGCAUGCAGGUCCCAGGUUCAGUCCCUGGCAUCCCCA